rnacentral:rRNA from 1 species
CGAGUACAGUGGCGCACGGGUGAGUAACACGUAGGAACAUGCCUUAAUCUGGGGAAUAACUGCGGGAAACUGCAGCUAAUACCGCAUGAUCUCGAAAGAGCAAAGGUGGCCUCUAUUUAUAAGCUACUGGAUUAAGAUUGGCCUACGUCCCAUUAGCUAGUUGGCGGGGUAAUGGCCCACCAAGGCGACGAUGGGUAGCUGGUCUGAGAGGACGAUCAGCCACACUGGAACUGAGACACGGUCCAGACUCC